rnacentral:lncRNA from 1 species
GCCUUUCAGUUGAUCAUGAAAGACACCUUGAGACAGGUUGGAAGAGUGUGUGCAUCGACAUGGCUUUUGUUUACAUUCCAGACUGGGAACACUGUUGUUUUGGUACUCGCAAUAAGAUUUCAGGUCUACAUUCACUAAAGUGGAUAUAAGAAGAUAUAAUUGCGCUGAUGGAGCAUUCAUGUUGCUACAUGAGUCUGUCUGCAUUAGGACGAAAAUAAAAAAAAAAAACCCAGAG